AAUGAAGUGCCUGAAAAUAAAGGAUUAUUUUGAUAGAAUAAAUCAUGCGACUUACGCCUUCAUUA
rnacentral:tRNA from 1 species